GACACUGAAGCAGUGAAGCAUAUGUGUUGUGUGUGUUUUUCAGUAGGAGACCAUCAUCUCAAUAGAUUUUCAAGAUUUACAAUUCACCGGGCCCACGGUGCGACCGCUCUCCCACCCCCUCUCCGCCACCCCUCCACCCCACCCCCCCACCCCCGCGACUGGGGUCCGCACGGGAGGGGGCGGGGCAAACUGUCCCCAGUGCGCCCCGGGCGGGUAACGCCAUGGGGCCUGGGGGGUUGGUUUCUCUCAGGCCACACGCGCGUCCCCCGAAGAGGGGACGGCGGAGCGAGCGCACGGGGUUGGCGGCGAUGUCGGCUACCCACCCGACCUGUCUUGAAACACGGACCAAGGAGUCUAACAGGUGCGCGAGUCCGGGGCUCGCACGAAAGCCGCCGUUGCGCAAUGAAGGUGAAGGCCGGCGCGCUCGCCGGCCGAGGUGGGAGCUUUGUAUAUAAGGCAGUAAAGAGAAACCAGGCCACACCUUGGAAACUGCUCAGAAAUCAACUCAGGAUGUGUGCCCAGGAGGACUGCGUGAAAGCUCUUUUUUUGCAUAUUGCCUGAACCGUGGGGAUAUGAAGUCCACAGACUUGGCAUCUUGA
rnacentral:lncRNA from 13 species